rnacentral:rRNA from 1 species
AUACGGAGGGUGCAAGCGUUAUCCGGAAGCAUUGGGUUUAAAGGGUCCGCAGGCGGAUUAAUAAGUCAGUGGUGAAAUCCUCUCGCUCAACGAGAGAACUGCCAUUGAAACUGUUAGUCUUGAAUUCGGUCGAAGUAGGCGGAAUGUGUCAUGUAGCGGUGAAAUGCAUAGAUAUGACACAGAACACCGAUAGCGAAGGCAGCUUACUAGACCUGGAUUGACGCUCAUGGACGAAAGCGUGGGGAGCGAACAGGAUUAGAAACCCCAGUAGUCC